ensembl:lncRNA
CCUUGAACACCACCAGGGUCGGUGACUCCACCACCUCUCUGGGCAGUCCAUUUCAGUGCCUGACCAGCCUUUCAGAGAAGUAGUAUUUCCUAACGUCCAGCCUGAACCUUCCCUGGCGCAGCUUGAAGCUAUUCCCUCUAGUCCCUAUAAUUGAUCUUACUGGUCUUUCCAACCUUAAUUAGUUUGUAAUUCUAUGAUCCUAUGAUUCAUACAGCACAAGAGCCCUGAGCCCAACUCAAGCAGUCCAUUCUUUGAACAAGCUUUUCUUGAUUCUCUUCACAUCUUCUGCUUCCCAAUGUGUGUGUGUGCAAGCUCUGUAGGCAAAUGAAGAAUAGUCAUCUGGCAGAAUCAGCAAGUCAUUGGGCCCACCUGUGCAUCUCCUGAAGGCAAAAUGCUGAUCUGGUGUAAGUCUUGUCUGACUGUCUUUGAAGGAUGGCUACUAUAUUACAUUGAAAUAAAAGCAGUCUAGAUGAUCCUUUGCUGGAGCUGGCUGGACACAGCAGAAGAACUGUUAGAAAAAUUGCUUUUCUGAAUCCUUCUAGAGGUGAAGCACUGGGACCUGGAGGUAUUGAGUUGCCCAGGGUCACGUGGGUUGUGGCAAAGUUAAGGUGCAGAGAUGUCUCAAUGUCUUUUACCUUUGUGGAGCAACAUCUUCCUUCUUACGUUGGUGUUGUGACAUAGCAGAGUGCUAGACAGCCCAACUGAAGAUCCAAAAUGACUCGACCAUAACCUUUUUGGAUUGUGUUGCUAUCUCUUUGUUAUGGGUUAUAACAUACAGAUAUGCGAAAUAUGGCACCCUUAGGGAUGCAACCCAGGCUGAAGGUAAAAGAGGUGGGGGUGGAAACACCAGUGAUGACGCAGAGGGUACCCAGGGGCUGGGAUCGCAUUCCUGGCUGUGCUGGUGGCCUGGGGUAAUUUCCUUCUCUUCUGUUUUCCAUCUAUCUUUUGUGAAGAUAAUUAUAAUCUCACUAUAGCAGAGGGUAGAGGCUUUUUGAGGACCCAUAAAGACAGCUGACCCUAUUUGCUAGGAUAAGUAGGUAAAAGAAAUGGGAAUGAGCCUGGGGGAAGGUAGGAACUAAAAGAGGUGGGGGAGAGGGGCUGGUUCCCAGAUCACAGAUUUAGAAGGUUUCCAGCUCAGGCGGGUGAAGGAGGGCUCAGACACGAGCUACUUGGCUGAGGGAUCCAUCUGCCUAAUUUGCAGGAGGGCAGAACAGUUUUCUUUUAGGUGGAGUUGUCCCAGACCCUAAUUCUUAUGAGAAAAUAAAGCUAAUUUUGAGGCUUAAGCUUAAGCUACUCUGGCCAAUGGGGGGAGGGGGGUGGAGGGGGGGGAGAGGUGGAUGCCAGAGGGAGGGCAUCAUCAGCCUACAGCAUAUGUUAUCUAUGUGCAACACCCUGUACCAUGAGUACUACAAAGAGCCUGUAGGAAAAAUGGGAGGGACUCUUUAUGAGGGUAGUGAAAGGACAGGGGGCAGUGACUGGAAAAUAAAAGAGGGUAGAUUUAGAUUAGAUAUUAGGAAGAAAUUCUUCAUUAUGAGGGUGAUGAGGCAUUGGAACAGGCUGCCCAGAGAGGCUGAGAAUGCCUCAUCCACAGGUGCUUAAAGCCAGGUUGGAUGGAGCUUUGGGCACGCUGGUCUAGUGGGAAGUGUUCCUGCCCAUGGCAAGGGAUUAGAUCCAGAUGAUCGUUAUGGUGAAAUUAAAACAGCAAAAAACUUUGACUUCUCUCUGGGCAAAGACAGAUCUUACCAGUACACGAUUCUCUAUAAGCUUAAUUCUAACCUAUUAGCUAUAUAAGCAGGGCAUCUUUAAGAAACUUUUAAUUGUCCCCAAAUAUUCAAUUAUUUUAUGUUCCUUCGUGCCCUGUACUCCUUUUUCCAACAGGGAAG